rnacentral:rRNA from 1 species
CUGUUAGUAGUGACGAGCGAAAGCGGAAAAGGCUAGUGAUUUAAGAAUAAGAAUUAGAAUACUCUGGAAAUAGUAACCAUAGAAGGUGAUAGUCCUGUAUAAGUAGAAAGUUUUUAAAUCCUUGAGUAGAGCGGGGCACGUGAAAUCCUGUUUGAAUAUGGGGGGACCAUCCUCCAAGCCUAAAUACUCCUUAACGACCGAUAGUGAACAAGUACCGUGAGGGAAAGGUGAAAAGAACCCCGGGAGGGGAGUGAAAUAGAAUCUGAAAUCAAGUGCUUACAAACAGUUGGAGCUCUAUAUCAAUUUAUUGAUAUUUAGAGUGACAGCGUACCUUUUGCAUAAUGGGUCAGCGAGUUAAUCUAUGAAGCAAGCUUAAGCCGUUAGGUGUAGGCGUAGCGAAAGCAAGUCUGAAUAGGGCGUUUUAGUUUUAUGGAUUAGACCCGAAACCAAGUGAUCUAGUCAUGACCAGAUUGAAGGUGUGGUAAAACACACUGGAGGAUCGAACCAGUUAAUGUUGCAACAUUAUUGGAUGAGUUGUGAUUAGGGGUGAAAGGCCAAUCAAACUUGGAAAUAGCUGGUUCUCCGCGAAAUCUAUUUAGGUAGAGCGUUGUAUGUAUGUUGUUGGGGGUAGAGCACUGGAUAGACUAGGGGGAUUCACCGUCUUACCAAAUCUAACUAAACUCCGAAUACCAACAAUUAAUUAUACAGCAGGCACACUACGGGUGCUAAGUCCGUGGUGGAAAGGGAAACAACCCAGAUCACUAUCUAAGGUCCCAAAAUUACAGCUAAGUGGGGAAGGAAGUAGAAAAACCAUUACAGCUAGGAGGUUGGCUUGGAAGCAGCCAUCCUUUAAAGAAAGCGUAACAGCUCACUUGUCUAAAUAAGUUUUUCUGCGCCGAAAAUGUACCGGGGCUAAAGCUGUAUACCGAAGAUGUGAGUGCUUAUUGAUUUCGAUCAAUAGGUGCGGUAGCGGAGCGUUCCGUAAGUCUGUGAAGGUGGUUUGUGAAAACUGCUGGAGAUAUCGGAAGUGAGAAUGCUGACAUAAGUAGCGUAAAAGAGUGUGAAAAACACUCUCACCAAAAAUCUAAGGGUUCCUACGUUAAGUUAAUCUGCGUAGGGUUAGUCGGUUCCUAAGGCGAGUCCGUAAAGGAGUAGUCGAUGGCAAUUAGGUUAAUAUUCCUAAACCUCUUAAGUGUGACGGGUUUCGUAUUUGUAUAGAUCUUAUUGGAUUGAUCUAUGCUUAAAAGAAGCUCCAGGAAAUAGCACUUAUAUUUAUGAGGCCGUACCGCAAACCGACACUGGUGGAUGAGUAGAGUAUACUAAGGUGUUGAAAGAAUGAUGUUGAAGGAACUCGGCAAAUUAUACCUGUAACUUCGGAAGAAGGGUAACCUGCUUUUAGGCAACUAUGAGUAGGUGGCACAAAAUAGGGAGUAGCGACUGUUUACUAAAAACACAGGACUCUGCAAACACGUAAGUGGAAGUAUAGGGUCUGACGCCUGCCCGGUGCUGGAAGGUUAAUAGGAGGGGUGCAAGCUCUAAAUUGAAGCCCCAGUAAACGGCGGCCGUAACACUGACGGUCCUAAGGUAGCGAAAUUCCUUGUCGGGUAAGUUCCGA